UCUCCUGGAAACGGGUGGUAAUGCCGGAUGCUCCAGUUGAUCGCAUGGUCUUCUGGGAAAGCCUUUGCGGCAUGGGAUGGGGUCGCGUCCUAUCAGCUUGAUGGCGGGGUAACGGCCCACCAUGGCUUCGACGGGUAGCCGGCCUGAGAGGGCGACCGGCCACAUUGGGACUGAGAUACGGCCCAGACUCCUACGGGAGGCAGCAGUGGGGAAUAUUGCACAAUGGGCGCAAGCCUGAUGCAGCGACGCCGCGUGAGGGAUGGAGGCCUUCGGGUUGUAAACCUCUUUUGUUAGGGAGCAAGGCAUUUUGUGUUGAGUGUACCUUUCGAAUAAGCACCGGCUAACUACGUGCCAGCAGCCGCGGUAAUACGUAGGGUGCAAGCGUUAUCCGGAAUUAUUGGGCGUAAAGGGCUCGUAGGCGGUUCGUCGCGUCCGGUGUGAAAGUCCAUCGCUUAACGGUGGAUCCGCGCCGGGUACGGGCGGGCUUGAGUGCGGUAGGGGAGACUGGAAUUCCCGGUGUAACGGUGGAAUGUGUAGAUAU
rnacentral:rRNA from 1 species